rnacentral:rRNA from 1 species
UACGUAGGGUGCAAGCGUUAAUCGGAAUUACUGGGCGUAAAGCGUGCGCAGGCGGUUUUGUAAGUCUGUCGUGAAAUCCCCGGGCUCAACCUGGGAAUUGCGAUGGAGACUGCAAGGCUAGAAUCUGGCAGAGGGGGGUAGAAUUCCACGUGUAGCAGUGAAAUGCGUAGAGAUGUGGAGGAACACCGAUGGCGAAGGCAGCCCCCUGGGUCAAGAUUGACGCUCAGGGACGAAAGCUAGGGGAGCGAAUGGG